rnacentral:lncRNA from 1 species
UUAAUUAAUUUUUAUAAAUUCAUUAAAGCAAAUGUUCAAAUUUAUACAAGCACAUUUUCUGGCUUUCGGAUGUCCUAUACUGAGUGAAUUAACGGCUCAUAAUUUUGUUGUUCAUUCUCACUGUGCCUCCAGAUUUAGACUUGAAACUUGCUUUGGAUAUUGACCGUUGUUCGUCUCAACACCCGAAAAAGUUUGGGAGGUCACUUGUAUCUUCCUGCUUGCUUUCUUGUGCCUCUGCCAUCCUGAAGUCAUGCCCAGGCUAACCUGCUGAAGGAUGAAUGGAACAGCCACCAUCACUUCAAAGAAAGGAAAGUCUGCGAACUCCACAUGUGGAAGAAUGAAAAGUCAUGAGAGCUAAGAGAAAAUAUUUGAUGAAGGUAGUACAAGGAAUUCUAAAAUUUAGCCUAUUAUAAUAGAACCUUAAUUUUUGUCCACUUUCCCAGAAGAUUUAGAAUAGCAUUAGCAGCAUUUUUGUAUGGCAACACAUCUUCAUGAAUUCAUGGAUGAUGCUUGUAGUAAAGUGACUACUUCUAAUGCUAGCAAAUAAGUGGAUACAUUUCAAAGAAGGACACAAAAUCUAACACCUUCUUCAACAAAAUUUUUUUCUGAGAUUAAGAGGAUUAUGACCAGAAUAUUUUCAUAAUUCAUUAUAUAGCUGUUGGUAUUACUCUAUUUUGACACUGCUAUAAAGAACUGCCUGAGACUAAAUAAAUUUAUAAAGAAAAGAGGUUUAAUUGAUUCACAGUUUCACAUGGCUGGGAAGGCCUCGGGAAAUUACAAUUAUGACACAAGGGAAAAUAGCCAUGUCUUACAUGGAGGCAGGUAAGGUAGGGGUGUGUGGAACCUGCCACUUAUAAAACCAUCAGAGCUCAUGAGAACCCAUUCACUAUCAUGAUAAUAGCAUGGGGGAAGCUGCCCCCAUGAUCCCAAUCACCUCCCACCUGGUCCCUCCCUCCACAGGUGGGGAUUACAAUUCAGAUUUCAAUUCCAGAUAAGAUUUGAGUGAGGACAUGGCGAAAAAAU